GUACACUCCUACGGGAGGCAGCAGUGGGGAAUUUUGAACAAUGGGCGAAAGCCUGAUCCAGCAAUGCCGCGUGAGUGAAGAAGGCCUUCGGGUUGUAAAGCUCUUUUGUCAGGGAAGAAACGGUGAAAGCUAAUAUCUUUUGCUAAUGACGGUACCUGAAGAAUAAGCACCGGCUAACUACGUGCCAGCAGCCGCGGUAAUACGUAGGGUGCAAGCGUUAAUCGGAAUUACUGGGCGUAAAGCGUGCGCAGGCGGUUUUGUAAGUCUGAUGUGAAAUCCCCGGGCUCAACCUGGGAAUUGCAUUGGAGACUGCAAGGCUAGAAUCUGGCAGAGGGGGGUAGAAUUCCACGUGUAGCAGUGAAAUGCGUAGAUAUGUGGAGGAACACCGAUGGCGAAGGCAGCCCCCUGGGUCAAGAUUGACGCUCAUGCACGAAAGCGUGGGGAGCAAACAGGAUUAGAUACCCUGGUAGUCCCAU
rnacentral:rRNA from 1 species